GACGCCGGACACAGGGUGAUCACUAAAGCUCACCUUUGAGCAGUUCGUGCUCAGGUGAGCUAAAAAUCCAUCCAUCGAUGACAAAGAUAUGGACCGGACACGCCCAUCAAUGCACUAUCCUUUAACGUCUAAGUGUGACCUUGACCUUUGAGCUACGGACCUGGGUUUUGCGCACGACACGUCGUCUUACUGUGGUACACAUUCAUGCCAAGUAAUUUGAAAAUCCAUCCAUCGAUGACAAAGAUAUGGACCGGACACGCCCAUCAAUGCACUAUCC